GCCUGAUGCAGCAACGCCGCGUGCGGGAUGACGGCCUUCGGGUUGUAAACCGCUUUCGCCUGUGACGAAGCGUGAGUGACGGUAAUGGGUAAAGAAGCACCGGCUAACUACGUGCCAGCAGCCGCGGUAAUA
rnacentral:rRNA from 1 species